rnacentral:rRNA from 1 species
AGCCCUAGCACAGGUGCUGCACGGCCGUCGUCAGCUCGUGCCGUGAGGUGUUCGGGUUAAGUCCCGCAACGAGCGCAACCCCCGCCGUUAGUUGCCAGCGGUUCGGCCGGGCACUCUAACGGGACUGCCCGCGAAAGCGGGAGGAAGAGGGGACGACGUCUGGUCAGCAUGGCCCUUACGGCCUGGGCGACACACGUGCUACAAUGCCCACUACAAAGCGAUGCCACCCGGCAACGGGGAGCUAAUCGCAAAAAGGUGGGCCCAGUUCGGAUUGGGGUCUGCAACCCGACCCCAUGAAGCCGGAAUCGCUAGUAAUCGCGGAUCAGCCAUGCCGCGGUGAAUACGUUCCCGGGCCUU